AUGCGCAUGUUGAGAUGGAUGUGUGGCCACACAAGGAAGGACCGAGUCCGGAAUGAUGAUAUACGAGAUAGAGUUGGGGUAGCGCCGAUUGAAGAGAAGCUUGUCCAACAUCGUAUGAGAUGGUUUUGGCAUAUUCAGCGCAGGCCUCCAGAAGCGCCAGUGCAUAGCGGACGGCUAAAGCGUGCCGAUAAUGUCAAGAGAGGUCGGGGUAGACCGAACUUUACAUGGGAGGAGUCCGUAAAGAGGGAUAUGAAGGAUUGGAGUAUGGACAAAGAACUAGCCAUGGACGUGUGCGUGGAAGCUUGA
rnacentral:rRNA from 1 species